ensembl:lncRNA
AGAAAGAAGAAAAAACCCGGACCGGGCCGCCUGGCCACCCUUUGUGCGGGUGUCCGCUCCCCAGGCUCCGAAAGCCUUGCCAGCCCUUGUGAUCGGGUGGCACCGCCCACCAGGCGUGUGAAAGAAAGAAGAAAAGAAGAAAAAACCCGGACCGGGCCGCCUGGCCACCCUUUGUGCGGGUGUCCGCUCCCCAGGCUCCGAAAUCCUUGCCAGCCCUUGUGAUCGGGGGGCACCGCCCACCAGGCGUAAAGAAGAAAGAAGAAAAAACCCGGACCGGGCCGCCUGGCCACCCUUUGUGCGGGUGUCCGCUCCCCAGGCUCCGAAAGCCUUGCCAGCCCUUGUGAUCGGGUGGCACCGCCCACCAGGC